AUCGCUGGUCGGAAGCGUGCCAUGCUUCAUCCCUCCGGUUACCCAGGAAUCGUGGGAGCUGCAACAGGUGGAAAGCCUCCAACAGCUCGACGUGGGGGCUCAAUGGGCUGGUGUGACCCGGCUGUACGGACGUUGAGACUUUCGGAUCCGGUAUGAGACUUGCAGGUGGCCUUGGUUUCUUGGACAGGCACAGAGGGCUAACUCCCUACUGGUUUGCAUGCGGAACUUGUUUAACUUCUUCCGGGGUGAUUCUAUCCGUUGAUUCUUGGAGACAGAUUGUCUGGAUGCAUUGGUUCUGGUUAAUUGAGCAACUACAGUUAUUCAGAUAAACAGGUCGUAGACGACAGGUGAAACGACCUUAACAACGGUGAACGGACCGGAAAACUUCGGAGCCAACUUGGCGGCGAAACUGUCAACGGCAGAGGAUAAAGGAC